GCGCGGGUGGGGGAACUAGCAGACCCGUACGCUUGAGGGGCGUAUGACGAAAGUCGUGCAGGUGCAAGUCCUGUCCCGCGCACCA
rnacentral:tRNA from 4 species